rnacentral:rRNA from 1 species
GAUGAACGCUAGCGGCAGGCUUAAUACAUGCAAGUCGAGGGGCAGCACGGUUAGCAAUAACUGGUGGCGACCGGCGCACGGGUGCGUAACACGUAUACAAUCUACCUUAAACAGGGGAUAGCCUUUCGAAAGAGAGAUUAAUACCCCGUAAUAAAUUGAACGGCAUCGUUUGAUUUUGAAAGCUCCGGCGGUUUGAGAUGAGUAUGCGUCUGAUUAGCUAGUUGGUGAGGUAACGGCUCACCAAGGCGACGAUCAGUAGGGGAUCUGAGAGGACUAACCCCCACACUGGUACUGAGACACGGACCAGACUCCUACGGGAGGCAGCAGUAAGGAAUAUUGGUCAAUGGAGGCAACUCUGAACCAGCC